UACGUAGGGUGCGAGCGUUAAUCGGAAUACUGGGCGUAAAGCGUGCGCAGGCGGUGAUGUAAGACCGAUGUGAAAUCCCCGGGCUUAACCUGGGAACUGCAUUGGUGACUGCAUCGCUCGAGUAUGGCAGGAGGGGGGUAGAAUUCCACGUGUAGCAGUGAAAUGCGUAGAGAUGUGGAGGAAUACCGAUGGCGAAGGCCAGCCCCCUGGGUCAAUACUGACGCUCAUGCACGAAAGCGUGGGGAGCAAACAGG
rnacentral:rRNA from 1 species